rnacentral:lncRNA from 1 species
CAUGAUGCGAGAGAUGACGGUGUUCGGAGUACUGUACGAGAGGUGCGUCGUGAAAGAUCGGUCUGAGUUGUUCUCUAUUUCGAUUGGGAUCUGCUGAGUGGUCGAAAAUAGCACUCCCAUGUAUUGCACUGGAGUUUCUCUCUUAGUAAAAGAAAAUAUCUGCCUUAUCAGCUCAGCUAUCUCCUCUCGGCUGGGGACGUAACCUAGUUUUGGACGGGAGAAGGAAGAAACCAUG